AGAGUUUGAUCAUGGCUCAGAUUGAACGCUGGCGGCAGGCCUAACACAUGCAAGUCGAACGGUAACAGGAAACAGCUUGCUGUUUCGCUGACGAGUGGCGGACGGGUGAGUAAUGUCUGGGAAACUGCCUGAUGGAGGGGGAUAACUACUGGAAACGGUAGCUAAUACCGCAUAACGUCGCAAGACCAAGGAGGGGGACCUUCGGGCCUCUUGCCAUCAGAUGUGCCCAGAUGGGAUUAGCUAGUAGGUGGGGUAACGGCUCACCUAGGCGACGAUCCCUAGCUGGUCUGAGAGGAUGACCAGCCACACUGGAACUGAGACACGGUCCAGACUCCUACGGGAGGCAGCAGUGGGGAAUAUUGCACAAUGGGCGCAAGCCUGAUGCAGCCAUGCCGCGUGUAUGUAGAAGGCCUUCGGGUUGUAAAGUACUUUCAGCGGGGAGGAAGGGAGUAAAGUUAAUACCUUUGCUCAUUGACGUUACCCGCAGAAGAAGCACCGGCUAACUCCGUGCCAGCAGCCGCGGUAAUACGGAGGGUGCAAGCGUUAAUCGGAAUUACUGGGCGUAAAGCGCACGCAGGCGGUUUGUUAAGUCAGAUGUGAAAUCCCCGGGCUCAACCUGGGAACUGCAUCUGAUACUGGCAAGCUUGAGUCUCGUAGAGGGGGGUAGAAUUCCAGGUGUAGCGGUGAAAUGCGUAGAGAUCUGGAGGAAUACCGGUGGCGAAGGCGGCCCCCUGGACGAAGACUGACGCUCAGGUGCGAAAGCGUGGGGAGCAAACAGGAUUAGAUACCCUGGUAGUCCACGCCGUAAACGAUGUCGACUUGGAGGUUGUGCCCUUGAGGCGUGGCUUCCGGAGCUAACGCGUUAAGUCGACCGCCUGGGGAGUACGGCCGCAAGGUUAAAACUCAAAUGAAUUGACGGGGGCCCGCACAAGCGGUGGAGCAUGUGGUUUAAUUCGAUGCAACGCGAAGAACCUUACCUGGUCUUGACAUCCACGGAAGUUUUCAGAGAUGAGAAUGUGCCUUCGGGAACCGUGAGACAGGUGCUGCAUGGCUGUCGUCAGCUCGUGUUGUGAAAUGUUGGGUUAAGUCCCGCAACGAGCGCAACCCUUAUCCUUUGUUGCCAGCGGUCCGGCCGGGAACUCAAAGGAGACUGCCAGUGAUAAACUGGAGGAAGGUGGGGAUGACGUCAAGUCAUCAUGGCCCUUACGACCAGGGCUACACACGUGCUACAAUGGCGCAUACAAAGAGAAGCGACCUCGCGAGAGCAAGCGGACCUCAUAAAGUGCGUCGUAGUCCGGAUUGGAGUCUGCAACUCGACUCCAUGAAGUCGGAAUCGCUAGUAAUCGUGGAUCAGAAUGCCACGGUGAAUACGUUCCCGGGCCUUGUACACACCGCCCGUCACACCAUGGGAGUGGGUUGCAAAAAGAAGUAGGUAGCUUAACCUUCGGGAGGGCGCUUACCACUUUGUGAUUCAUGACUGGGGUGAAGUCGUAACAAGGUAACCGUAGAGGAACCUGCGGUUG
rnacentral:rRNA from 1 species